rnacentral:rRNA from 1 species
AGAGUUUGAUCAUGGCUCAGAAUCAACGCUGGCGGCGUGCCUCAGACAUGCAAGUCGAACGCGAAAGCCCCCUUCGGGGGGCAAGUAGAGUGGCGCACGGGUGAGUAACACGUAGGUAAUCUACCUUUGGAUGGGGAAUAACAACCGGAAACGGUUGCUAAUACCGCAUAAUGCAGCGGCACCUAAUGGUGACAGUUGUUAAAGCGGGGGAUCGAAAGACCUCGCGUCUGAAGAGGAGCCUGCGGCGGAUUAGCUAGUUGGUAAGGUAACGGCUUACCAAGGCGAUGAUCCGUAGCCGGCCUGAGAGGGCGGUCGGCCACACUGACACUGACAUACGGGUCAGACUCCUACGGGAGGCAGCAGUCGGGAAUUUUGGGCAAUGGGCGAAAGCCUGACCCAGCAACGCCGCGUGAAGGAUGAAAUCCUUCGGGAUGUAAACUUCGCAAGAACGGGAAGAAUAAGUAAGGGUUAAUAUCUCUUACGAUGACGGUACCGUUUGUAAGCUCCGGCUAACUCCGUGCCAGCAGCCGCGGUAAUACGGGGGGAGCAAGCGUUGUUCGGAUUUACUGGGCGUAAAGGGCGCGUAGGCGGCCACCGCAAGUCGACUGUGAAAUCUCUGGGCUUAACCCAGAACGGUCAGCCGAUACUGCGGGGCUAGAGUGCAGAAGGGGCAACUGGAAUUCCUGGUGUAGCGGUGAAAUGCGCAGAUAUCAGGAGGAACACCGAUGGCGAAGGCAGGUCUCUGGGCAUUAACUGACGCUGAGGAGCGAAAGCAUGGGGAGCGAACAGGAUUAGAUACCCCCGUAGUCC